UACGUAGGGUGCUAGCGUUGUCCGGAAUUAUUGGACGUAAAGCGCGCGCAGGCGGUCAGUUAAGUUGGGUGUUUAAGCCCGGGGCUCAACCCCGGUACGCAUCCAAAACUGGUUGACUUGAGUGUAGGAGAGGAAAGUGGAAUUCCACGUGUAGCGGUGAAAUGCGUAGAGAUGUGGAGGAACACCAGUGGCGAAGGCGACUUUCUGGCCUAUAACUGACGCUGAGGCGCGAAAGCGUGGGGAGCAAACAGG
rnacentral:rRNA from 1 species